CUCCGACUUCGGUGGGGCUGCGCUGGGGGCUGGGGACCCGGACGGCCCGAGGCGGGGGCGACAAGUCUGUUUCCUCCCGGUCUCCGCCUGCGCCGGCUGAAACGAGUCUUUCCGGUGGGGCUGCCCAGCCGGGUCCGCCCCGCCCGGCCUCCCGGAACCCGCUCGGAGACGUGAACGACCCCGCCCGGGCCGAGGGCGCGAGCAGGAGGGUGGGUGGAGCGGCUGGAGAGGCAAGAGCCCGGGUCCUGGGUUCUAGCGAGCUCUGGAGCCCCUCUUUCCGAUCCGGUGGCUCCCCAAGGGCACCCUGACCGAAGGUUUAUGUUGAAGCUUCCUGGGUGAUUCUGCGAAUCAAGGCUGCGAAUAAAGUAACCUUAUUACUUUACAACUGGGGAAACUGAGGCACACACUGUGCCAAGGUCUUACCGUAAGUUAGCCAACCACAAGGAAGCCAAGGGAAAGCCUACCGGAGAGACCCCACGAAGGCCAGGAUUUUUCCCAGGGCCUGAGUCCUGAGGGAUUGGAGUAGAAGAGGCAGGCAGGGACGCAGGAAGGUCUGGGCACGCUGCCCUGACAGGUUCGCAGGAUCACCGCGGCGGUCCCCAGCCUCACGAAAUUAAUGAGGAAGAGGCCUUUCUUUCCUCCGUCGAGGAGUAGAGGUUCCGUUUAACCUCUGCAGACAGUAAGACAGCGACCACUCUCCUCCCAGCCUGGCGCCAGCAUGAACCCGAGGGCAUGUCAGCAGGAGCCAGGAACUGGAGGCGAAGCAUCCUUCAUUUCCUCUGCGGCAGUGGAACGAGUGAGGUAUUCUCAAACUUGGGAACCAGCCUUGUAGCCUGACAAAAUUACCUGGGAUGGAGCUCAGGACGACUGGCCCUUGUCUUGCUCUGUGACUGUACAUGUCACUUCUCACUUGUCCAUUCAAAAAAAACUCUGGAGAACCUCCUGUCUGCUUGGGCUUCUAAAUCAUGGCACUGACACUUUAAAUUAGAAAAUAACAAAGAAGGAAUCUGCCAAAUAGAAGCAUGAAAGGCUUUGCAAAAGAAUUGACAUUUGAUAUGGAUUCUGACAGAAGAAAAGGAGUUGCCUGGGUGGCAUCAGUUCAUCUUCUAUAAGGGAGUUGAGCGACCCCCCCCCCCCGCCACCUCCCACCCGCUCCACACUGUGUACUUCUUGUCAUCAUCCUUUAUGUUGUUAGCUGAG
ensembl:lncRNA